rnacentral:tRNA from 2 species
CGCGGGGUAGAGCAGCUUGGUGGCUUGCAAGGCUUAUAACCUUGAAGUCACGGGUUCCAAUCUUGUCUCCGCAA